GAUGAACGCUGGCGGCGUGCCUAAUACAUGCAAGUCGAGCGAACAGAUAAGGAGCUUGCUCCUUUGACGUUAGCGGCGGACGGGUGAGUAAUACGUGGGUAACCUCCCUAUUAGACUGGGAUAACUUCGAGAAACGGGAGUUCAUACCGGAUAAUAAUUCGAACAGCAUAGUUCGAUAGAGAAAGAAGGUUCUGCUAUCACUUAUAGAUGGACCCGCGCUGUAUUAGCUAGUUGCUAAGGUAACGGCUUACCAUGGAGACGAUACGUAGCCGACAUGAGAGGGUGAUCAGCCACACUGGAAGGGAGACACGGUCCAAGCGGCUACAGAAACCGGCAGUAGGGAAUCGGCCGGAAUGAGCGGAGACCUUACGAAAAAACGCCGCGUGAGUGAUGAAGAUCUUCGGUUCGUAAAACUCUGUUAUUAGGGAUGAACAUACGUGUAAGUAGCGGUGCACGUCUUGACGGUACCUAAUCAAGAAGCCACGGCUAACUACGUG
rnacentral:rRNA from 1 species